rfam:Daphnia pulex DAPPTscaffold_1691_Cont13334, whole genome shotgun sequence.
GCCCGGUUAGCUCAGAUGGUAGAGCGCGGUAUUUUUAAUCCUGAGGUCGAGGGUUCAAGUCCCUCAUCGGGCG